rnacentral:rRNA from 1 species
UACGAAGGGGGCUAGCGUUGCUCGGAAUCACUGGGCGUAAAGCGCACGUAGGCGGAUGUGUCAGUCAGGGGUGAAAUCCCGGAGCUCAACUUCGGAACUGCCUCUGAUACAGCACGUCUUGAGUCCGAGAGAGGUGGGUGGAAUUCCUAGUGUAGAGGUGAAAUUCGUAGAUAUCAGGAAGAACACCCGUGGCGAAAGCGGCUCUCUGGAACGGUACUGACGCUGAGACGCGAAAGCGUGGGGAGCGAACAGG